rnacentral:lncRNA from 1 species
AUAAUUAUGGCCCUCUUUUGGCUGUAGUUUGGAGUACUGGGAGCAUGGGAAAUGCUUUGCUGGCUUUCUCCUGUGGUGGGUAGAAUUCAGUGAAGCGUGGGCUACCCUUAGCAAAACCAGAGUGGGUAUCUCACAGUGGCUCAGCUGCACUAGAACCCCAUGGUUGGGAGCAUUAGAUCAGAAAAGUGGUGUGAUGUUGUCUUCCAUUUCUGACAGCAGCUGAAUCUACUCUCUUUCAUAGGAAGUCUCAUGGUUCUGUCAUGGAAGUACAAGGUACUACAAUCAUCCCCUUGCUUUGCCUGGGCAGAAUCAGACUCACAGAAUCAAAACAGAUGAAGGAUGAAAUAACAAAUAAAUAACCUCUUUCAGAAGGGCUAUGUUUGGUCAAUCCUGUCCUAAUAGACAGUUGAAGUACCAUUCAUUACAUCUUCAGACUUGUGAAUUCUUCUGCAUAGACAGAUUCAGCAAUGGAAAAGGAAAUCGCACAGCAGGUUUGAAAGCUCAUGCUCCGAAGUUGGAAAGAAUCCCUGAAAAUAUACUUACAUUCACUUGAGAAACCUGGAAUCUAGAGAAGGCAUCCAUUACAAUUUUAAUUCUCUUUCAGCAUGUCAUUUUUUAAAAAAAUCCCUGUUUUAAUCACUGUAGUAUUACAUUGCUGCUCAUAAAAUUACAAUUUUCUGGCUUAGAUGAGUUAAAGAAUGACAGUGAAGAUCUUGUAUUUACCCAGCAGUGAUAGAGAUGGAUCAGUAUUAUAAUACCAUGUUCUUUUAAAACCAAAUAGAAAUAAAUCUGUAUGUUUUAAAUGAAUCA